AUGUCUCUAUGGACUGGAAUAUUGUUGAAACAGCUUCACUCAAGUGAGGAAACUUUUAACUGUAUAAUUCAGAUACUCCUGGGGCUUCUUCUCUUUAAUCCCCACCUGUUAUUACUGCUGAUCAGCCUGUUUUUGAUACCAGUGGACUCUGACAGAUAUGGCCACCAGGACAAGGCUUCAAGGCUUCCAUGUUGGCCUUCCAGAUUUUUGGGCUUCUGACACCUUCAUCCUCAAGCUGUCUCUUCAUCUCUACUUCUCCAGCUACUGCUCUCUUGCCAGCCUAAUUUUUAUCUCUCCAGAGGUCAACCUCCAAAGGUAGGGGAAGCCAGAACUGUGAUCUGGCUUUUGUUCCCCAUUAUAGUAAGUUGAUUAGUGUCCCAUCAAAUUCAUGUCCACCUGGAACCUCAGAAUGUGACCUUACUUGGCAAUGUGAUUAAGAUGAGACCAUUCUGAAUUGGGGAUUGACUGGUGUCUAUAAGAAGAGGGAAAGACCAUAUGAAGAAGGGGCAGAGAUGGGAGCAAUGUACCCACAAGCCAAGGAACUCCAGCCACUGAGAAUCACCAGAAGCUAGGAAGAGGCAAGGAAAGAUCUCUCUCCACCCUCAACCCCCAGAUUUCUUCAGAGGGAGCAUGGCCCUGGCCACACCUUGAUUUUGGAGCUUCUAGCUUCUAAGAAUGUGACAGGAAUACAUUUCCAUUGUUUUAAACCUCUCAGUGGGUGGUACUUAUGGCCGCCAUGGGAAAUGAAUACACCCACCUACCAAAAACACACUGAUCUUACCCUUUAUCUGCCUUUCCUCUAGCUGGUUUUCUCUUUAGUCUUCCUUCUAAAUGCCUCUUCCUUUGUUUUUCCUUUUUGUGUCUUGAGACCUUUGGCCUCUUCCUAGUUAACACCGCUAUUUCAGAAGGGAUGGGUAAGUUUUAGCGGUGGAGUACAGGCGGGCCAUCAUAUCACACAAAACCCUCUUCCUAGUGCCUAAGAACAGCCCCACAGACAAUACAGCUGCGAUAAAUGGUGUUAAGAUCUGUUUUUCCAUUAGACACUCAGAUGAGAUAAUGGGGAAAAGAAGCAACUUGUAGAAACAUUCCCUCUAUCUUGGGAAAUGCAGUCUUGUUUAUUAAAGGCUCAAGUUUUGUGAGCAAGUUUAUCACAUUAAUUUCUGUUACAGGAAGAUUAUUUUAGCUGAUGUUUUUCUUCCAAGUAAAAUUCAUGGAGUGCUAACAAUGUCUUAGGCUGGGUCUGGAGCCAAAAUAAUUUGCUUAUCCUUAGAUGAAGAAUGGCUCAUUAAUUGGGCAUUGGACAAAAUGUUCUUUUCCUCUGUUUGUCCUUAAUUACAUUAAUUAGCUGCAAUUUCUGUGGCAUUGUAUGUUUUGUGCGUAACACAUUCCAGGCGAGUUCAAGUAAGGUGACUUAAAAAUUGGAUUUGUAUAUCAAAACCCAAAACCCAAAUCAGACCAAAACCCACAUCUCUCCCAUGCCAAUGAAAAGGAAAGUAAGCCUUAAAAAUUACAUCUGAGCACAUGUGAGAUCUUGGCUGAUAUAAACAAUAUGUACUAUUAUAGAAAAGAUAGCGCCGUUAAAUUCCAUGGGAAAUUUGGGCUUGUCAUGAUUCUGGGCAGAAGUUGAGAAAACCCAUAUCAGCUUGGUAUUAAAACUGUCAUAUUUAAAAUCAGAGCUAAAUCAAAUUCUGAAUAGGCAGAAAUGUAAUUUUUUUUUAAGUUUUACCAGAACCCUAAAAGUAUGGAGUGGAUUACAUUACAAAUAUUUUUCUGAAUCAAUUAUCUUUCCUUAAAUUAUUCUAAAGUUUUCUGUCUGUAGGAAUAUUAACUCAAAAAAAUUACUCUUUGGGGGGUUACCUGAGUGGCUCAGUGGUUGAGCAGUGGACUCUUGCUUUCAGCUCAUGUCAUGAUCUCAGGGUGGUUGGGUUGAGCCCCGAGUCAGGCUCCACAUUCAGCAGGUAGUCUGCUUGUCAUUCUUUCCUUUUCCCUCUCCUUCUGCUCCUUCCUGCUAUCACUUUAAAAUAAAUAAAUAAAUAUUAAAAAAAUAAUUACUCCU
rnacentral:lncRNA from 12 species